GAUGAAGAACGUAGUGAAAUGCGAUAAGUAAUGUGAAUUGCAGAAUUCAGUGAAUCAUCGAAUUUUUGAACGCACCUUGCGCCCCUUGGUAUUCCGAGGAGCAUGCCUGUUUGAGUGUCAGUAAAUUCUCAAACCCUUCCAGCUUUUUGUAGUUGGCUCUGGGUCUUGGAUGUGGAGGUGUUGCAGGCCUUUUUGAGGUCAGCUCCCCUGAAAUGCAUUAGCAGAACCGUUUGCAAUCCAUCACAGGUGUGAUAAUUAUCUACGCCAGUGGGUUGCUCUCUGUCACUGUUCAGCUUACAAUUGUCCCAUUCUUGUGGACCAACUAUUGCUGAUUCUUUGACCUCAAAUCAGGUAGGACUACCCGCUGAACUUAAGCAUAUCAAUAAGCGGAGGA
rnacentral:misc_RNA from 1 species